rnacentral:other from 1 species
CGGGCCCUGCGGUGUACGUGUUUGUUCGAGGAAGUUUUGAGCCGACACUCAAAAUUCUUGGAGCCCUUCUUGAUUGGUUCUGAGUGGCAGUCCUGAGUGAUCAGGAAAUCGCGAAGAACGUCAGGGGGCGCCGCCCUGGUUUUCUAGGGUUCAAAAACUCGGUAGGCACACGGCACAGGCGGGGCUUUU